CAGGAUCAGUGACCAAGAUUGGACAGACUUCCAUGAAUCAAAACUUAAUGGUGGUUGCCACCAAGCUCUGUUCAUUUUUUUUGACCUAUAUCCAAGAGUUCUUUGCGAAAGCGAGCCUUGAAGAUUACCGCCUCCAAGUCCUGUUUCGAACUCUUUUAUUGGAGUCUUUUAUGAAUCAAGCCUUAAUGGUUUUAGCCACCA
rnacentral:lncRNA from 1 species